CAUAAAUAGUGUGAACGUGGCCACGUGCCAUGAGCUGAAAACGUACCUACACUUGGUGAAUGGAUUCGUAAGCUCAUCUUGUCCAUUUAGAGCAACCGCCAAGAGAGUCCUUAGUAAACAUAGAAGAUAACAUAAUAACAAAAUAAUCAGUUAGAAUCAGAGAGCUAUCAGCAGAUAAAAGGCGACAAAAUAGAGUCCGUACAGCACAAGUCCUUUUUCUUUUUUUUGGGGUGAUAAAAGGUGUCAAUAUUCUUUUCCAACAAAACUACAUUCCCUCCGUUAUUCAUUGGACAAGCCUAUCUAUAAUCUUUCCCAGAAAAUACAUAUUUUUGUAACACGCAUAUAUGCCAGGGUUCAAUUUUAUUAUUUUGUUGAAUUUUCCUUUUCAUAUGCAAGAGAUUUAGAUUUUAUUUUCAUGGGUCAAAACAAAUGAUUCUUUAAUAAUCCUUACAGAAUAAAAAUGGUAUACUUCAAUAGCUACCAAGCAUUAAUUACCCUAUGGAUCACAAUGAGAGAGAGAUGUUAUCCUAGUACCUUAGAUUUAAAACAAGACUUGUUAUUCUAGCGUCUAUCCGACUACUGUUCCAUCACAUGGGAAUAAGGGAAGACAAAUAAACAAAUUGAUUUACGUUGAACAGUCCUCGCUUAAUUUACAUUUUGAAAUUUCUCGUCUUUCUCCGAAUGUAAGAACCAAAGAUCCUGCAUGCAUCAAUAAACUCUCUUCAAUUCAAGUAAGAUAUUUUAUGUAUGUAUGUAUACUCCAAAANNNNNNNNNNNNNNNNNNNNNNNNNNNNNNNNNNNNNNNNNNNNNNNNNNNNNNNNNNNNNNNNNNNNNNNNNNNNNNNNNNNNNNNNNNNNNNNNNNNNNNNNNNNNNNNNNNNNNNNNNNNNNNNNNNNNNNNNNNNNNNNNNNNNNNNNNNNNCAAUGCCCCACUGUUAUUGAAUUGGCUUCUUUGACGUCUAUCUAAUUAAGCUUCCACCGCCCAUAUAAUUGAAUGGAAAAAUAAAAUUAUUAUGAUACACGUACUUAAACUUUGUAUUGCGGUGGUGUGAAAGUUUUUAAGUGGAAUCGGAGAAGUUGGACUGGAAGAAAUCCUGAGGCUGAGGCUGUCAUACAAGCCACAGUAACUAGCUAGCUAGCCCCAGUAACCGACCUAUUGCAAAGACAAGACAAACUGAUGAUGUGAUUUCAACUGUUAAUUAACACUCAAAGAAAGCUAACACAAACAUAUUAUUUUCAUAAAACAUGAAACUUUCAGUUUAAAAAGUCAAUUCAGAAAAGAAAAGAAGUCUAAAGUAAGCAUUUGAUUGUUUGAUGCGGGCAAAAGUCCAUGCGUGUCUUGGGUUUAUUUGAGAUUUUUUUAAUGCCCAUACUCCUGGGACUGAUUUCCGGGGCUAACUUGAGCAACUUUUCUACAUAAUUUACCACAAAAACCCAAAUGUCAAAUUAAUUUUACGUAUAAACUGAUUUUCAUACAUUAAUCUCUUUCCUUCCUAUUACAAAUUGUGUGAAUAAAAAAUAAAAAUAAAUAUAUAUAAAUAAUAAUUUAUUUGUUCCUUUAAUAUAUAUUUCAUUUGAAUAUAGUUAGCUUUGUUUUGUGGUUUCUAUUUAAAACAAUUAUAUUGAUUGGAGUUCCGGUUUUGAGCCCCACUUUCCCUUUCUCAUGAUAAAUAAAACUAUCUUUUUACAUUCUUGCCCCACCAGACACUUUUUCCUUUUUCAAAAAAAUGCCUUCUUUUUAUUUAUUUUUUCAUAAAAAAUAUGGCAUCAGCUAUACUUGAAUUUUUUAUUAUUUUCUCUCGUUUCAAUUUUAACACAUAUACUUACUUUUUAAUAUUUUUAAUUGUUGAUAAAUCACGUGAGAAAAACUGUUAAUAAAUUAGGCAACAUAAAAACAAACAGUGUACUUGUUAAUCUUUUUGAGGUAUUAUAUUUAAUAAUGUUUUAAUCAAUUGUUUUAAGUCACCGGCCACUUAAAUGAAUAAAAUAAAUUAUAAUGAUUGAUGAGAUGCGAGAAUAAUUAAUUUAAUAGGGCACAAGUAUCACAUGACUGAGCCCUAACUUUUUUAAUACUAUACUAAUAUUCUAUUAACUUCAACUGAAAAAAGCGGUAUUAUAUAAUUUAGCGGUUGUUGUGAUCGAAAAAUGCUGAAUUGGAUCCCCUAUUUGAAUUAGUACCAACCAUCCGGCAGUCUUAUCAGUCAGCAGGCCAACCAUCUAACCANNNNNNNNNNNNNNNNUUAAAUAUAAAAUUAUUAUACUCUUAUUUAUUGUGAUGUACACAUUAAAGAAUAAAUUACAUUAGUAGAAUUUUAUUUUUAAUAACAACGAUGAAUUUUUUCUAACAAGUGAUUAUAAAUUUCAUGAGCGGUCAUCAAACUUUAUAAGAAGUAGUAAGACUAUAUUAAAUUUUUAAUUUCAUCGAGUCAAUUAACAAAUUAAAAGUUUAAUAUUUUUUUUAUUAUAAAGCACAAAUUUUAGUGAUUAUCUACGUAAGUUAUUUACUAAAUAUGCGAGGAAAAUUUAUUGAUGUAUUAAAAUUAAAAUUUAGCAACCAUUUAAUUAAACAUCGAAGGUUUGCUAACUUUUUAUUAUAAAGUCCAAAGUUUGAUAAUUACCUAGAAGAAUUUCAAAAAAAAUUGUCUCCAAGUAUUAGAUCCAAAUUUGGAUGAAACUGUUCAUACCUUCUUAAAAGUAAAUUCUGGGCUAGCAACCUUAAGAACAUAUACUUGUCUCUCCAAUUCUAAGAAUAACGACCUACCCAGUGAAGUGUUACUGACCAAGGGAUAUACAAGCAGCUAGCAUUUGCUUUCUAUAUGACAGUGUGGAUGAUUGCAAUUUACUGCAUCUUACUGAUUUCUGAAUUCUUUUUGUUAUUGUUUAUUAAGUCAGUUUUCUAUUCCUGUUAAUUUUAGGGUAGACCGAGUUCGUAGCGAAUUAUCAAAUAUGUAAGAAUGGUAGGAGUUUUACCUGUUGGACAUGGAAUAGCAACAGACAGCCAGUCUAAGAGUCCAAAAUAUGGCUGACCCUGAUCCUGGAAGAAAGAAAAGAGGUCAAACCGCCAAAUCUAUUUCCUCCAAGAGAACAAGCAAAUUGCGGCUACAAAAGUACAAAUAUAAUUGGUCAUCAGUCUUCACAAUCAAUGCCAAACUUAGACCACGAACGUGGAGUAUUAAAGGCAAUAAGUCAAAAAUCAAAUCUAAUACCAUAUAACAAAAUAAAGAUAGCAACACUAUUAGACAGGAACAUCAAGAAAACAUGCAGCGUUCAAACUCACAACAAUACCAAUCAAGCCACACCUUACUUCUCCCUAUGCUCUGUUGUCUCUCUAACAGCUCUCAGAUUCCUAUGGAGGUUUUACUUUGAAGUCUUCAAUACCUUAAUUAAUUCAAACUGCAGGUUAAGUUUGAGUUAACCAAGUUCAACUAGUAGAAUCGAUACUUCACAACUACCCUCUCUCUCUCUCUCUCUCUCCCAUUUAUAAUACUUUCACAUAAGGUAGUUUGUAAUUAUUUAUACAUUGCUCCAGCUCCAUGUUGUGUAGAAUAGAUCAUAGAUGGACUCAUUCCUGAAAGCAAGAUAAAACAAGCAAAACUUUCUACUUAUUUUCAUAGACUUUGGUGUCCAUUUUGUUUUACGUUUACCUUUUGAUACUUUUCUUUCUUUCUUUUUUUCUUUUUAUCCUGAGUGUUAAAGCAAAAUAAAAAUAGUCCUCAGGCUCAGUCAAUCCCUUUCUUUGUAGGGAAAAUGGCCUUCUUGCAGAGCAACGAGAAACAAAAUAAUUGGAUAAUAUACAAUACUACUUGCUGCAUAUAUAGCUGUGACGCACCAAUAUUUUAUACAUAUGUAUACCACCGUAGAAGAGGGCUACGGAAAAAGACCCUUAACUAAUGUGAUUCAUGAGUAUCAAUCGGUUUCCAUCAGUCUUUUUCAUUAGCCCCUAACCUCCGUUGUCACACAUCUCAAAAAGUUUCCAUACUAGCCAUCUCCUAAAAUAGCAAGCUUUUUCCUAAAAUAUCAAAGAAGAUCGACCCACCACUGGCAAUACUCCUCAAUUCAUUUCACGCCCAUAAGUAGCAAACCAGUCAAGAUUUAAGCCGAAAAUGUAUGAAAGAGGGGAAUUGAAUUGCAAAGUGUAAUGUCGGUUUGUCUUAUCAAAUCAUUCAAUUGCACCGUAUGGUAUCAUUGGUCAAUGGUCACUCUUAAACCGAAAGAUUUAAAAUCUAAGUACAGAAAAAUGUCGAGGAGAAUUACAUGACCAAUGAGAUUCUCAUUGUAUGUGACGACGGUGACAAUUUCAAACUUAUUGCUGCUACCGUGUGUCACUUUAGCUUUUGAUUUUGAGUAGAGUUAGUGGCCAUUACGCUACAAUGGGGUUGCAACAAUCUUUUAGUGUAUAUGUUUCUGAAUUUAGACAGAUAUUUUAUAAUUCUUAUGUUUGAAAAAUUAACAAAUAUUCAAUUACUUGAAUUCAAUGCUUAAAAAAAAAUAAAAAUCAAGAUAACAUUUCUUUUGUGCUUCCAAAAAGAAUAAAUCAAUGCUUACAAGUAAGAGAAAGUUGAUUAGAAUUACACAAGUAAAACUCAAUUUAUUCAACGAAACUGAUUGAAAGAGUUAAUUUAUUUCCUCAAUAAAAAAUGAAACUUAUGUCAUUUAAUUGGUUAAAAACGACGUGAAAUUUAAAUAAAUUCAGUUUNNNUGUAUCCACCUGAAACCACUGAUCAACCCUAUAUGCGAUGAUCUAAAUGUUAAGAAAACUGAGACAAGUCAACAACAACUGCUCAACAGAUUAAACAAAUUAAUAAAUCAAAGUCUGUAGCAAAUGAUUAUUAAAGAUUAGAUCAAAUUGUCAAUUUUCAGACUGGACCAGGCAUGAGGAUAUAUAGCCAAAAAGCACCGAAGUUGCCUUUUGUUUGUAAGAUGGAACUCAGCCAAUGAAAAGUGCAGAUUGAGGAAUGCCAAAAUAGAUAUGAAAGGAAGUUCUACAUGCGGCCACCGAGUUAACAAAAAGAAAAAACAAGACAUGCACGCAAUUCACUGUCAGCAGAACCUCAGUUAUAGCGGUGCAACUUUCCACUAGCUGUUUAUACUGAUAGAUGGUCCUUUAAAAGUUUCAAUCUUUUUGUUAAAAACUAUUAAAAAGAUUAAAAUAAAAAGACACCUGCCCCAUGCAAGAUGUUAAACUGCCAAUUAAUUUACAUUAUUUUCGCAAAUCAGGUUGACAUCUUAAAUCUAUUAUUUAUUUCCACCGAGUGAAAACUUUCAUUUUUUUAACAAAGGUAAACUGAUUCUAAAAGCUUUAGAAACUUAAUAUCAUUAACAAAGUCUUCAAAUAUCAAGGAGCCUUUAAAUUUGAGACAUAAAGGUCUGAAGUUUAAAUUCUCAUUUCUUAUAUAUUGACUCAUUAAACUUCCCAUAAAAAAAAAAAAAAUCACUACAUGACUUUCAAAUCUCAUUUAGAAUGUCUUUAGAAAAAAAAGAAAAAAAAUUAAGUGGGGUCACUAAUUUUUAAAUUUAAAACUUUUAUUUGUAAUUAAAUUUUAUCAAUUUUAAUUUUAAUAACACUAGAUAAAUUUUUGUGGCACAUUUAUAGCAUUUCUAACAAUGUUUUAUAUAUAUUUUUCUAUUAAUUUAUGAAUAAUUAAUUAUUAAUUUUAUUUAAAAUAUACACGUAUUUUUCGAUAAUAAUUCUAUUUUAUCUUUUAAUUAAUUUUUUUAUUAAUAAAAUAAAGAAAAGAGAAAUGAGUAAAAAAAGAAUGUGAUUUUUAAAAAGAUUAAAAUAAUUAACUAAGAAAGAGAAAUAAUAAAAUAUAUUUGAAAAUCAUUUUUUUUAUUUUUAAUUUAACGAAAGAGAAUGAAAACUCUUAAGUUAUUUUAAAAAAGCAUAGUAAAUUAACAAAUAUCACAUGGAAACCUAAUUUUGCAUAUAUUUACUAUAAUAUUAAUAAUUUGUUAAAAAAUUUAAAAAAUAAAUUAAAUAUAAAGAGUCGAUAAUUUUUCUAGUAUCCUCUUGAGUAAAGAUUGUUCAUAGAAUUUAUUUUUUAAAAAUAUUGAAAUGAUUUAAUAAAUUAAGGUUUUAUAAUAAUAAUUCAGUUAUAAAUUAAAAUUUUAUAUCUUUUUAUUCCGAAAUAUAAAUUCUAAUAACUUCCUUUUCAUGAUUUUGUCUCUCUUUUCUUCUUUUUAACCAAACCAUAAAUAUCAAAACAUGUGGGAUAUUAAAAUAUCAUAUCGAGAGUGCACUUAUUAAAUCUCUACUCAUAAAUAAAAUAAUUAUUUUAAUUUUUAUUUAUUUUAUGAAUUCCUUAAAAUAGAUAUCAAGUAAGAGAGAAUAAUAAAUUUGUUAAAGUAAACUCAUAAAAUACCUUUUAUUGACUUUACCUCAUUUCAGAUAAAGCCUAAAAAGUAUCCCAAGAAGUAAUUUUUCUAUUCACCUCUUUAUUUUAGCUUGUUUGAAGAGUUGUACAUGUUUUAGAAAUAAUCGAAAUAUUUAUAAAAAUAAAAUUAAUAAAGGAAGAAGGAAGAUAAAGCAAAAUAAAAUAAAAUUCAUUUAAAAGUUAAUUUUCUAUUAUCUAUUUUUUUUAGGAAUAUGGAUCUUAAAAAUUUCUAAAAUUUAAGUCGUGAAUUAAAAAAUGUAUUACAAAAUAAAGUUGAAAGACUAUUGAAAAUACUCUCGAGUUAUUGAUUAAGUCAUUUUACUUAGUUAUGUAUUAGUUUUGGUAAGCCCACAUUAUUUAUUCGGGCUCGAGGAACAAUUAGUUGAAAACCAGAAUAACAAAAAGAUUCAUCCUGAUUUAUUAUAAUUAAGAAAAAUGCAAAACGAGAAUAUAAAAAUAAAAAAUAAUCCACAAGAAAUAUAAAAAUUUUAAAAUUAAGGAUAAUUAUAAAAAACAGUAUGUAAAUUUAUUAAUAUUUAAUAAUUAAGUAUUAUAUUUCUAAAAAUAAUAAUUUUUAUGAACCAAGUAUUUACAACAUAUUAGAGAUAAAUCGUAAAUUAUUUAGCAGCAUUUGAUUUGUUAGAUUUGAAAUGGGGAUUGGAGAAUAUCCCUUCUAUUCUUUGAUCUUUAUCAAGAUUAUUUCUACAAAUAUGUAUAUAUUUGAGGGAAUAGUAUAUCAAUACUAUGUCUGCUAAGAAUUAAUCUAAAGUUUCAUAAUUAUUUUUUUUCUUAUUAAUUGAACCAUAUGUUUGUCGAAUUCAAGAUGUUUCAUUUAGUAUCCUAAAUCGUCAACCUAUACCCACCAAAGACAUCUAGUGGUCUUUUUACAUCCUUUUUCAGAAAUGUUAUCACCGAAUUCUAUGCAACUACGGAGGAAUAAAAUGCUUCGCUCGUGCUAAAUGUUUGCCUCUUGGUAUCAAAUUUUCUAUUUGUUAUUUUUCGGUACCCCUCUUAUUAUUUAUGUUAUUUCCACGAGUACUAAUAAGGAUUUUGACAGUUAAUUGAUGAUGUGCCUGCCAAAUUUAUAAAAAACCACAGACCACUUGACACACGUUUUACUGACUCUUUUAUUUAAUCAUAGUCAGUAAAUUACUUGUGUCCCACCCCCAAAUAAAUAAUCCUAAAACAUUUAAUAUUUUCCUUUACCUUUAGCUAAAAAAUUUGUCUCCAUUGAACCGGUCAAAUUCUCUUUCUAAAUCCAAAGCAAAAUUUCCACAAGAUGAUAAUGGAUUGGUCUCAUCUCCCACCUGAACUCAUAGAAACAAUCUCCAAAGGCUUAGCAAUCUACAGUGAUUACCUCUAUUCACGCUCCUGUGGCUCAUGCUCCCCCAAUCCCAAUCUCAAUCUCAAUCCAACCAAUCACGCCACACGUUUUUUCAGUCUUUCCACAAACAAAUUCCACUUUCUCAACCUCCCUAAAGUCUCCUAUCGCAAAUGAUAUUGCGGCUCUUCUCAUGGCUGGCUCAUGAUCCUCGACGACACACCUACAACUCUCCUUAUUAACCCUCUCACGCGAGCCGCUCUCUUUGCCUCCCCUUUCGAGUUUUCCUAAUGUUAUUAGCUUUAAUUACUCUGGUAUCGGCCAAGAAUACGCGCUUCAGAACUUGCUCGGCAAACGCGUCACCGUUAGCUUGAGGCAAAUGCGUGAUUUGUUCAUUAGAAAAGUUGUUCUAUCUUCAAGUCCGUUGAAGGAUAACAAUUUCGUGGUUAUGGCAAUUCUUAAUCUACAACUAGUUCAAAUGGAUGUAAAAACUGCAUUCUUGCAUGGUGAUCUGGAAUAGGAAAUCUACAUGGAUCAGCCUGAAGGAUUUAGGGUGGCAGGAAAAGAAAAUUUGGUGUGCAAAUUGAACAAAUCUUUGUAUGGUUUGAAACAGUCACCAAGGCAGUGAUACAAAUGAUUUGAUAAGUUUAUGAUGAGGCAAAGAUGCACAAGAAGCAUAUAUGAUCAUUAUGUAUUCUUGAAAAGGCUGUAGGAUGGAUCCUUUAUCUAUCUUCUCCUUUAUAUUGAUGAUAUGCUGAUUGCAUCGAAGAAUAUAGGAGAAAUUGAACAGUUAAAGGCUCAACUAAAUCAAGAGUUUGAAAUGAAGGAUUUAGGUGAAGCUAGAAAGAUUCUUGGUAUGGAGAUAAGUAGAGAUAAAAAAUUGGAGAGACUUUGUUUAACUCAGAAGGAAUAUCUGAGAAAGGUAUUGAAGCGAUUUGGAAUUGAUGAAACGACAAAGCCUGUCAGUACACCACUUGAUCCUCAUUUUAAAUUCAGUGCUUCUCAAUCUCCAAAGAAUGAUGAAGACCGAGAAUAUAUGUCGAAGGUUCCAUAUGCAAAUGCAAUUGGUAGCUUGAUGUAUGCUAUGGUGUGCACAAGACCUGACAUUUCACAAGCAGUCGGAGUUGUGAGUAUGUAUAUGCAUGAUCCUAGAAAAGGACAUUGGCAAGCUGUGAAAUGGAUCCUAAGGUAUACUCAGAAUACUGUGGAUGUUGGAUUAAUGUUUGAGCAGGAUGAAAAGUUUGGUCUGAGUGUGGUUGGAUAUUGUGAUUUUGACUACGCAGAUGUUUUGGUAAAACGUUGGUCAACUACUGGUUAUGUGUUUACACUUGUAAAAGCACCAGUUAGUUGAAAGUCUACUUUGCAGUCAACGGUUGCUUUGUCUACAACAUAGGUAGAGUAUAUGGCAGUUACAGAAGCUGUAAAAGAGGCAAUUUGGCUUUAAGGGUUGGUGAAAGACUUGGGAAUUGAUAUGAAGCACGUCAAAGUGCAUUGUGAUAGUUAGAGUGCUAUCUGUUCAGCUAAAACCAAGUCUAUAUUCAAGGAUAAAGCAUAUCAAUGUUCGUUAUUACUUCGUGAGAGAAAUUCUUGAAGAAGGUAAGAUAUUUCUUUAGAAGAUUCCAACUGCUGAAAAUCCUGUAGGUAUGACUACGAAAGUAGUAACUGGAGUCUUGAUAAAUAUUUUGAAAAUUUGAAGAUGGGCGCUUCAAACGCAUUUGAAGGCAUUGCUAAAUUUGUAACGAGAGAAAACAGAUAAUGUUUGAUUGGGCUUAGGACGUCGCCAAAGUGGAGAUUUGUUAUUUUUGGCUCAUCUCCUAUCCCACAUUAAAAGCUAAGAAAAAUAAGAAGUAAUCCCAAGUCUAUAAAUAGUGGGCCUUCUCUCCUUUUCAUGUUGUGGAAAAACAAUUGUCUUAAUAUUUCUAUAGGUUAAAUUGUAUUUCUUUUCUUUCUCUUCUUAAUAAUAUUUCCUUGUAAUUCUAUUGAAUUAAAAAAAAUUUAUUUUGGUAGAGCAUGAGGAAAUAAGCAUAAUUUUGAUUGAACCUCGUUAAAGUUCUGGUGUUCCUUUUCUUAUUGUUUAUUUAAUAGUUUAUUUGUCAGGUAAUUUUACAAGUGAUAUAUGGUACCUAUAAUUACCUAAGAACUUAUUUUUUAGUUGUAAUUUUUCGUAUAAUUUAUCCGAUUGCAGUGUAAACCAACCCGAAUUUCAGAGCACAAACCUGAAGCUAGAACCAAAUAACAAACAACCAAAACACCAGACCAAACCAAGAGCAGAUGAGCAGAAAACAAAAGGUCGAGGAAAGCACAGCAAAAACCAAGAGCAGGACAGCAGCGAGGCCGCCGUAAUUAUUAUAAGAAAGAAAGACAGAACUGUAGUAACUACAGAGCUGAGCAACGGAAAGAAACAAAAACACAAUAUCUACAGCAAGACAUAGUUUAUUAUUAUUGACACAAAAACAUGGAGUUAUUGCGUAUAGUACGUAUCACAUCAUAUCGUUUUACGUUAAUGGUAGAAGUGUCAUAAGGUAACCCUAUAUUACUAUUAAUGUGAUCCUAUAAAUAAAUAUUUUCCAAGUGUAAAGUGAAAUUUACUCAUAAACGUAAAACAAAAAAGAAAAAGCAAUCACCUCUUAAAUCGAAAGGAGGUCUAUCUCUCGAUCUGAAUAUAUUCACCCAAAUUUAUUCCCUGUAAAAGUAAACACAUAAAAUUCUUUUCUAUCAAGUAGUAGACAAAUAAUAAAACAAAGAAGCAUAAUAGCAGUAAUAAUAAUAAUAUUAUGAAAAAAAAACAGCAUGAAUAUCAAACUAAACAAAGAAUCAAAUAAUGGCCUGGUGCAGAGAGUUAGGUUGCCUAAUCCUAGGAAAUUGUUAGCCAUGUGGAGCGAUGGAAAUUGCUUAAUUCCCUUACUUUUACUUAUUACCCAAAAAGAAAAGAAAAAUCCUAUUAUUCUGACAAGAAAAUAAAUUAUCUACAAACACCUGAUAAUAGCAGCGGUGGAAGUACGUGUAGCUACUGCAAAGUCCCCUUGAGCAUGUGAAAUCUAUCUAUUGCUCUGGUUAAAGGGUUUUUGCAUCAAAUAUGUUCGACGAAGAAAGCCAGAAAAGAAAACAAACAAACAAACAAACAUUUGGCUUAUGCGAGGCAAUAAAAAUAAAACUACAAAGCAAAGCAAGGAUAAGGCAGACACAUAUGUAGAUAGGUGUCAAGGCAGGACGAGUUGUAGCUUCCGGCA
rnacentral:lncRNA from 1 species